UCCCUUGACAACCCACUCACCAGUUAAACACAUUCCACAUCCUUCUCCCCUCAGAGAAUCGACCAAGACAAGCCACGGGUGGUGCCAGAAGUUCAUUUGAACAGUGAGGGGUGAAGGGGUUGGGGAGAAGCUGGCUCUGCAGAGCAAACUGGGGCCCAGUAAAAGAGGAAAAGCAAAAAAGAGCAAAAGUAAAAGUAUGCCUGCUCUAGAAGAUACAGAGUGGGCCAUGGAGUCAGCAUUGCGGGCUCCUCGCGGGGUCUGGGUCCUUGGAUGUUACCUGCAUCUGGCGGGGUCCUCGAGAAGCUCUGUACUUCCCCAGCCAGCUCUGCCACGCCCUGCCUCCUAUCAUUUCCCCAGACACACAAAUCCCAUCAUUGUUACGGGGUGCCGAAGGAGCGUCGGUCUCUGCCUUGUACAGCCCCCUGAAGUGGAAGGGGCUGAGGACUCUCCUUACAGAACCCCGGGGCCCGUCCCUUCUAAAGAGCAGAAGUCUGUCUGGCUCUUGGCUCUGGAGGCUGAGUUCAAGAAUGAGAGGCUGGCAUCAGCUUCCAGUAAAGCCCAAAUUGCUUGGCAUGGAAAGCAAGACCUUUCAGGAUCUGGGCCCUCUGACCCUCCAGGCUGCUUGUUUGUCAUGGCUCCCACGAACUCCAGCGUCCAGCCUUGGCACACUGGACCUCAGCUGAGCAGAGAACCAUCAGGGGAGUAGGAGCUUUGUCUGCAGUGGCCUUAUUCUUCCCCACCCCAGACUCUUCUUCCUGGAAAAUCCUAGGAACCCUGCAAAAUUCCGUUCAAGAAUACCCUGUCUGGGGUCAUCCUCACCCCUCCCUUUGAACAAAGCCGCUGUUCCCACCCCUCCCGGUGCCAUUCUUGAAGUGCACUCAGUCCCUGGAUCGGUGCGUUUUUCUUUGAUGGCUGUUGUGACAGACACUGGCGGACAUCCCUGGUUUCCAAGGGUGACAGAGUGCUGGCUGAGUCAGCAGCCCCUCUUCCCACGCUGCUCCGUCUGUCUUGCAUCCUUUUCUACCCACCCGCUCUCUCUAAUGCCCUGUGCAGCCCUGCAGAUGGGAAAGGGCUGGAACACUUUGUGCCUGGCACACACAGGAGCACGGUGAUGUGUGCAGAAUAGCAUAGAAGGGGCCGGAUUAUUCGUGGUCUCUGACAGCUCCAACUGUCCCUGGCUUUGGGGUGAGGUGGCCUGUUCCUCUGCACAUACCCUCUGCAACCCCAGCGUCUUCAGCUGAACUGCAGGCUCCUGAAGGACUCUACAAGGAGGUCUCUGUCUGCAGGACUGGCGGGGACAACAAGGCUUGAGAAGCUGAGCCGGUGACCGGUCUGGUUGUGUGCCUCUCCCGACACACACACACUCACUGUGUCUAAGUGGGACACCAGCCAGCUGUCUUCCCACUGCAGUGACCCAAGUACCCCAGUAAAGCACACCAUGGCUCGGGGUUCGGGAGCCUAUUUCUGUUCAGAACAUGAGAGUGCUGUGAUCAGAGCCACAGGGACCACGUGCCCUAAAUUCCUAGUCUCAGCAGGGCGUGCUGAUGCAUGAGCAUUAUCCCAGUCCUCCGAGAGGCUGAAACAGGAGAAUUGCAAGUUCAAACCAAGCCGGGGCAACUCGGUGACACUUGUUUGAAAUAAAAAAUAAUAAAAACGGCUGGAGAUGAGCUCAGUCUGAAGGCCUGUGUUUGACCGUCAGGACUAGGGGAGCACACAGUCUUCCGCUACACCGCAGGAGGACUGUCCUGCGCAAUGGCUUGAGCGUGGCCAGGACUGAACUGGAGAGGGCUCGGACGUCAGAGGCCAGCCCGCCGUGAGGCCACGGGGUUCCGCCUGAUGCCAACCUGCGCGUGUGCCAACAGACCCUGCCAUGGUUGUGCAGGGGUUCUUUCCCCCACCUUUCUGGGUCUCGUCUUCACUUCCCCGCCUCCUCCUCCUCCUGGCCACCCUUCUCGGUCCUCAUCCCCGGAGGCCCUGACCCUGGCUCCGGGCCCGCCCGGAGGCCCCGGGACUGUCUGAGCCCUUCCGGAGGCACAGGCCAUGGACCCUAGGAGUCCAGGUGAUUCGGUGGACAUCUUGUAAUCUCUACUGAUCAUGAUCAUUUUCACAUCUCCUUUAAAUAAAACAAGAUUGAGAACACGAA